CGCGAGCAUCUGGGCCAAGUUAGAGAAGGGCCCAUGGUGGAUGCCUAGGCGCCAGGAGCCGAAGAAGGACGCGUGAGGCUGCGAAAAGCCCCGGGGAGCCGCCAACAAGGCUUAGAUCCGGGGGUGUCCGAAUGGGGAAACCCGGCUGGGGUCAUGCCCAGUCACCCAGGGCUGAACACAUAGGCCCUCGGGAGGGAACCGCCCGAACUGAAACAUCUCAUUAGGGCGAGGAAGGGAAAGCAACCGCGACUCCCCCAGUAGCGGCGAGCGAACGGGGAUGAGCCUAAACCGACGCUGCGUGAGAGCCCGGUGGCGUUGCCGCGUCGGUGUCGUGGGACCUGCCAGGGGGGGCGCCGGCCCCUCCGGGGAGUCAGAAAGUCCGCGUCUAGCCGAACGUCCCUGGAAAGGGCGGCCACAGAGGGUAACAGCCCUGUAGGCGAAAGGCGGCGGACCUCCCGGCAGUGUUCCCGAGUAGCACGGGGCACGUGAAAUCCCGUGUGAAUCUGGGGGGCCCACCCCCCAAGGCUAAGCACUUCCUGGCGACCGAUAGUGGACCAGUACCGUGAGGGAAAGGUGAAAAGCACCCCGGGAGGGGAGUGAAAGAGUACCUGAAACCGUGGGCCUACAAGCCGUCGGAGCUCUCGCUCUGGGCAACCAGACGGGGGUGACGGCGUGCCUUUUGAAGAAUGAGCCGGUGAGUUAGCGGUGCGUGGCGAGGUUAACCCAUAUGGGGAAGCCGCAGCGAAAGCGAGUCCGAAACGGGCGACUCAGUCGCGUGCCCUAGACCCGAAGCCGAGUGAUCUACCCAUGGGCAGGCUGAAGCGGGGGUAAGACCCCGUGGAGGGCCGAACCCACCAGGGUUGAAAACCUGGGGGAUGACCUGUGGGUAGGGGUGAAAGGCCAAUCAAACUCGGUGAUAGCUGGUUCUCCCCGAAAUGCAUUUAGGUGCAGCCUCGGGUGUUCAGCAGCGGAGGUAGAGCACUGCUUGGGCUAGGGGGCCUACAAGCUUACCGAUCUCAGGCAAACUCCGAAUGCCGCUGCUCCAGAGCCCGGGAGUGAGACUGUGGGGGAUAAGCUCCAUGGUCGAGAGGGAAACAGCCCAGACCGCCAGCUAAGGUCCCUAAAUCCGUGCUAAGUGGGAAAGGAUGUGGAGUCGCCGAGACAACCAGGAGGUUGGCUUAGAAGCAGCCAUCCUUGAAAGAGUGCGUAACAGCUCACUGGUCAAGUGGUUCCGCGCCGACAAUGUAGCGGGGCUCAAGCACGGUGCCGAAGCUGCGGGGUUCACCGUAUGGCUCGGCCCUCCUGGGCGACCAGGUGGGUCUAGGCCGGUGGACCGGUAGGGGAGCGUUCCCACGCGAGUGAAGCGGCGGGGUAACCCAGCCGUGGACGCGUGGGAAGUGAGAAUGCCGGCAUGAGUAGCGAAAGAGGGGGGAGGAACCCCUCCGCCGUAUGUCCAAGGUUUCCUGGGGAAGGUUCAUCCGCCCAGGGUUAGUCGGGACCUAAGCCGAGGCCGACAGGCGUAGGCGAUGGACAACAGGUUGAUAUUCCUGUACCACCUCAUCCGCGCCCAGGCCGAACCCGGGUUGCUAAGGAAACCCCUCCCUUCGGGGAGGGGCUACCGACCCACCCGGUAGUAGGCCAGCGAAGGGGGGACGCAGGAGGGUAAGCCGACCCAGGCGUUGGUCGAUCCUGGGGCAAGCAUGUAGGGGGGUCUCCCAGGAAAAUCCGGGAGACCACACAAACCCCGAGGUGCGAUGCCGAGCCGCACAAGGCGAAGCGGCCCAUCCCACACUGCCAAGAAAAGCCUCUAGCGAGUGGAUGAGGUGCCCGUACCGCAAACCGACGCAGGUGGACAGGCAGAGUAUGCCAAGGCGAUCGAGAGAACCCUGGUUAAGGAACUCGGCAAAUUGCCCCCGUAACUUCGGGAGAAGGGGGGCCCCGGUAGGGUCGGUCCUUCUCAGGACCACAAGCCCGAUGGGGCCGCAGAAAACAGGCCCAAGCGACUGUUUACUAAAAACACAGGUGCAUGCGAAGCCGCAAGGCGCUGUAUAUGCACUGACGCCUGCCCGGUGCCGGAACGUUAAGGGGAUGGGUUAGCUUCGGCGAAGCUCUGAACCUAAGCCCCGGUAAACGGCGGCCGUAACUAUAACGGUCCUAAGGUAGCGAAAUUCCUUGUCGGGUAAGU
rnacentral:rRNA from 1 species